rnacentral:rRNA from 1 species
UGGAGGAAAGUAGGGGAUCGAAAGACCUUGCGCUUUUGGAGCGGCCGAUGUCUGAUUAGCUAGUUGGUGGGGUAAUGGCCUACCAAGGCGACGAUCAGUAGUUGGUCUGAGAGGACGACCAGCCACACUGGGACUGAGACACGGCCCAGACUCCUACGGGAGGCAGCAGUGGGGAAUUUUGGACAAUGGGCGCAAGCCUGAUCCAGCAAUGCCGCGUGAGUGAAGAAGGCCUUCGGGUUGUAAAGCUCUUUCAGUCGAGAAGAAAAGGCUGCAGUGAAUAACUGUAGUUUAUGACGGUAUCGACAGAAGAAGCACCGGCUAACUACGUGCCAGCAGCCGCGGUAAUACGUAGGGUGCGAGCGUUAAUCGGAAUUACUGGGCGUAAAGGGUGCGCAGGCGGUUUUGUAAGUCAGAUGUGAAAUCCCCGGGCUUAACCUGGGAAUUGCGUUUGAAACUACAAAGCUAGA